UUGAACGCUGGCGGCAUGCCUUACACAUGCAAGUCGAACGGCAGCACGGGAGCAAUCCUGGUGGCGAGUGGCGAACGGGUGAGUAAUAUAUCGGAACGUGCCCAGUCGUGGGGGAUAACGUAGCGAAAGCUACGCUAAUACCGCAUACGAUCUAUGGAUGAAAGCGGGGGAUCGCAAGACCUCGCGCGAUUGGAGCGGCCGAUAUCAGAUUAGGUAGUUGGUGAGGUAAAGGGCUCACCAAGCCGACGAUCUGUAGCUGGUCUGAGAGGACGACCCAGCCACACUGGGACUGAGACACGGCCCAGACUCCUACGGGAGGCAGCAGUGGGGAAUUUUGGACAAUGGGCGCAAGCCUGAUCCAGCAAUGCCGCGUGCAGGAUGAAGGCCUUCGGGUUGUAAACUGCUUUUGUACGGAACGAAACGGUGAGCUCUAAUACAGUUUGCUAAUGACGGUACCGUAAGAAUAAGCACCGGCUAACUACGUG
rnacentral:rRNA from 1 species